rnacentral:rRNA from 1 species
UACGUAGGGUGCGAGCGUUGUCCGGAAUUAUUGGGCGUAAAGAGCUCGUAGGCGGCUCGUUGCGUCAACCGUGAAAACCCGGGGCUUAACUUCGGGCUUGCGGUUGAUACGGGCGGGCUGGAGUUCGGUAGGGGCAACUGGAAUUCUCGGUGUAGCGGUGAAAUGCGUAGAUAUCGAGAGGAACACCGGCGGCGAAGGCGGGUCUCUGGGCCGAUACUGACGCUGAGGAGCGAAAGCGUGGGGAGCGAACAGG